AUUGAACGCUGGCGGCAUGCUUUACACAUGCAAGUCGAACGGUAACAGGCCGCAAGGUGCUGACGAGUGGCGAACGGGUGAGUAAUGCAUCGGAACGUGCCCAGUCGUGGGGGAUAACGCAGCGAAAGCUGUGCUAAUACCGCAUACGAUCUAUGGAAGAAAGCGGGGGACCGUAAGGCCUCGCGCGAUUGGAGCGGCCGAUGUCAGAUUAGGUAGUUGGUGGGGUAAAGGCCUACCAAGCCAACGAUCUGUAGCUGGUCUGAGAGGACGACCAGCCACACUGGGACUGAGACACGGCCCAGACUCCUACGGGAGGCAGCAGUGGGGAAUUUUGGACAAUGGGCGCAAGCCUGAUCCAGCAAUGCCGCGUGCAGGAAGAAGGCCUUCGGGUUGUAAACUGCUUUUGUACGGAACGAAACGGUCUGGGUUAAUACCCUGGACUAAUGACGGUACCGUAAGAAUAAGCACCGGCUAACUACGUGCCAGCCGCCGCCGUAAGAC
rnacentral:rRNA from 1 species